ensembl:lncRNA
CCUGACUGCUACAGUAAUGAGGACAAUCAGUCAGUGUGCUCAGUUCCUGAGAUCCUGGUGGAGAGUCAUAACUUUUUAUCACCCAAUCAUGGUGAGUCAAUAACAUUUAUGACUGGUAGUUUUCUAAUCAGGUGAGUUUUACCUCCUACUUUAGAAUCUAGUUAAAGAGGAAGUCUCGUCCCACAGGACAGGUUCAUCACAGAAGAGAUCACAUCUGAAUCUUUUCUCUUUUGACAGCAGUGGGGUUAAAUUGGGCGCAAAUGGACACUUUUUUUUUCUUUUUUGAUUUCCAGAAUCUGAGAUUAUUUUCCCAUGAGAAAAGACCCCCAAACCCAGCUUUCUGCAGCUGAAGCCUUUAAGGCUUCCUCUGCAGAAAAACAGACAUCCCCUGUCCCACGACGUCCCCAACCUCAUGGCCUUGGCAGCUUCUUAGAUCCUCCAUCUAAUCCAAGAGUGGAAAAACGAGAGGUCACACAGGUGUGCAUUGCAUAA